rnacentral:lncRNA from 1 species
GGUACAUAUAUAUGUAUAUAUGUAUAUAUAUACACACACACAUACACACACGUGUGUGUGUGUAUAGUGAUAUAUAUAUAUAUAUAUAUAUAUAUAUAUGGGGGCAGACAUAGGAAUGAUGAUGGAAAAUCAGCUGUCAUAUUAAAACUAAGGAGAGAAAUGUGAUUUCUGACACAAGGAACUGACUAGAAAUACAUAGAUCAGAAACCUACUAAAGUUUCAGCAGUAGUAUAUUUUCAAAGAUAUCUGACCAUUUAACAUCAAAACAAGGCAUGGGUUUCCAUUGCCAAUAGGCAGGGAUGACCUAAGAAACUCCCAUUCUCCAAGUAGAGCAUUCAUGGGCAGGGGAUUCCAUAUGCAUGGUAGAUUCAUGGACACAGAGAAGAGUACCUGGAGUUUAUGAGAACAUUCAUAUAAUCUUUUUUUUUCUCCCCAAUCCUAAAGCAAAGUGCUAUCAAAAUGGUGUGCGGUGAGAUUUCAGAGUUUCUACCAAUCAGUGCUGCUCAUGUCUUUCAUUUUUCUCCUCUUUAUUUGGUAUAUUUAUUGUGGGUGUUCUCCCUAUGUCAGGAAUGUUUUGGCAGACAAUUCCCAGGGUUACCAGCACCCCAGAAAAACAGAUUCCCUCUUGGAGGUGAGCUGCCCAGGAAAAUAAAAAGUCUGAAUAAUCAGUAAGGAAUAAAAGACAAAGCCAAAAAUUAGAUUCAAAAGGGGAAGUAUAUCAAAGGUUUCAGUGAGGGAGGAAUCUUGAGGUAAAUUGGCAGGUUAUGCCUAUGUCUGGAUGGCUGUUUGAACCUAAGGCUGUGAGCUAAGGCAGGGUGGCAGUGAAUGGGACUUUCUCAAGUGGGGGAUUUCACUCAGGAAUUCACAGCAAAGCAACUUUCCUGCCUCAAUGGCUCAAAGUUCAUACAGGGCUCCCAACAGGCAAUGGGACAUUUUCAUUGACAGGUUCUUGGGUCAACAAUGGCAAUAUCUAGAUCACCACACAUUUCCUAUGAUCCUCGUUUUUAAUCAUAUAGUCAAUGGUGAGAAAGGACUGGAUAGAAGUGACUCCUUUGGCGAGGUAAAAAUAUGCUAAACACAUGGAAAGAAUCAAACAAUUUGAUGACCAGAAUAGUGGACUGUUUUUCAGUAUAUCAUAUACUUAAGUCAUGCCAAUGGAGGGAGGAGAUGUCCAUGCCUAGAGCUUAAAACAUUUCUCAUGACCGUUUCCUUUAUGUGGAGUACUAGGAAGCUUCAAGUUCCAGAUUGUAGAACUAAAAGAUCAUCAGAGAAUUUUAGGUCUUAUGCACAUUGAUGUUUCUUACACAGAGAUCAACUGACAAACACACACAUAUGUACUUACAGAUACAUGCAUACAGUGUUUGCAACUUAAGUACUUUCCUAUGUUACAUUGGGAAAUGCUCCUUAGAGCAAGAAGGGUGGGCUUGUUGGCUUUCCUGUCUGUGAACCGUGGGGAACAAGAUAUAAUUUUCCUGCUAUUUGGAGUUCAGCAAAUCAUAUGUUUAAAACACCAAGCAGAAAGUGACAUUUGUAAUGUUGAUAAUUGUUAGGUAGGAGUGGUAAUGCCAUUUCAUUUUCAGCAUAUGGAGAAAUCAUGAGGAAUAUAUUGUUCUUCAAGUGGUAAAAAUGGUCUUUCAUCAAAUGAGAUAUAAAGUUCAGAUUGUCCUUAUAGAAUGUGU